rnacentral:rRNA from 1 species
CCCGCUGAACUUAAGCAUAUCAAUAAGCGGAGGAAAAGAAACUAACAAGGAUUCCCCUAGUAACUGCGAGUGAAGCGGGAAAAGCUCAAAUUUAAAAUCUGGUGGCUUUGGUCAUCCGAGUUGUAAUUUAGAGAAGCGUCUUCCGCGCUGGACCGUGCACAAGUCUCCUGGAAUGGAGCGUCAUAGAGGGUGAGAAUCCCGUCUUUGGCACGGACGCACCAGGGCUUCUGUGAUGCGCUCUCGAAGAGUCGAGUUGUUUGGGAAUGCAGCUCAAAAUGGGUGGUGAACUCCAUCUAAAGCUAAAUAUUGGCAAGAGACCGAUAGCGAACAAGUACCGUGAGGGAAAGAUGAAAAGCACUUUGGAAAGAGAGUUAAACAGUACGUGAAAUUGUUAAAAGGGAAACGCUUGAAGUCAGUCAUGUUUGCUUGGACUCAACCUUGCUCCCGCUUGGUGCAUUUCCUUGUAGACAGGCCAGCGUCCAUGUUGUUUAUUGAAAAAGGGGUGAAAGAAUGUAGCUUCUUUGGGAGUGUUAUAGCUUUCUCUCGUAUGCAAUGACUGAUAUGGAGUGGUACAGCAUGCCUUUGGUGGUGCUUGUGCUGGCAUAAUGGCUUUAAACGACCCGUCUUGAAACACGG